GACGAACGCUGGCGGCGUGCCUAAUACAUGCAAGUCGAACGCAGUGGGGACGGGUGAGUAACACGUUGGUAACCUCCCAUCAGAGGGGAUAACACUUGGAAACAGGUGCUAAACCGAUACUGAUGGAUGGACCCGCGGUGCAUUAGCGAGUUGGUGAGGUAACGGCUGACCAAGGCCACGAUGCAUAGCCCACCGGAGAGGGUGAUCGGCCACACGUGGACUGAGGCACGGCCCAGAAUCGUACGGGAGGCAGCAGUAGGGAAUCUUCGGCAAUGGACGAAAGUCUGACAGAGCAACGCCGCUUGAGUGAAGAAGGUUUUCGGAUCGUAAAACUCUGUUGUUAGAGUAGCGGUAUCUAACCAGAAAGCCACGGCUAACUACGUGCCAGCAGCCGCGGUAAUUC
rnacentral:rRNA from 1 species